rnacentral:rRNA from 1 species
AACGAACGUUAGCGGCGCGCCUAACACAUGCAAGUCGAGCGAGAAAGGGCUUCGGCCCCGGUAAAGCGGCGCACGGGUGCGUAACGCGUGGGAAUCUGCCCUUGGGUUCGGAAUAACAGUUAGAAAUGACUGCUAAUACCGAAUGAUGUCUUCGGACCAAAGAUUUAUCGCCCAAGGAUGAGCCCCGCGUCGGAUUAGCUGGUUGGUGAGGUAAAGGCUCACCAAGGCGACGAUCCGUAGCUGGUCUGAGAGGAUGAUCAGCCACACUGGGACUGAGACACGGCCCAGACUCCUACGGGAGGCAGCAGUGGGGAAUAUUGGACAAUGGCGAAAGCCUGAUCCAGCAAUGCCGCGUGAGUGAUGAAGGCCUUAGGGUUGUAAAGCUCUUUUACCCGGGAUGAUAAUGACAGUACCGGGAGAAUAAGCCCCCGGCUAAACUCCGUGCCAGCAGCCGCGGUAAU